rfam:Schistosoma rodhaini strain Burundi genome assembly, scaffold: SROB_scaffold0003273
GUACUGCUGAGGAGUCACACAAUUAGACGAAACGACCGUCCAGUAC